rnacentral:rRNA from 1 species
UACGGGGGGGGCAAGCGUUGUUCGGAAUUACUGGGCGUAAAGGGUUUGUAGGUGGCUCGCUAAGUCAGACGUGAAAUCCCUCAGCUUAACUGGGGAACUGCGUCUGAGACUGGAUGGCUUGAGUGCAGGAGAGGAACGCGGAAUUCCAGGUGUAGCGGUGAAAUGCGUAGAUAUCUGGAGGAACACCGGUGGCGAAGGCGGCGUUCUGGACUGCUACUGACACUGAGGAACGAAAGCCAGGGGAGCAAACGGG